rnacentral:rRNA from 1 species
GAAGCUUGCUUCUUUUUGAAUCUAGUGGCAAACGGGUGAGUAACACGUAAACAACCUGCCUUCAGGAUGGGGACAACAGACGGAAACGACUGCUAAUACCGAAUGUGUUCCGGAGACCGCAUGAUUUCCGGAAGAAAGGAUGGCCUCUAUUUAUAAGCUAUCGCCUGAAGAGGGGUUUGCGUCUGAUUAGGCAGUUGGUGAGGUAACGGCCCACCAAACCUACGAUCAGUAGCCGGUCUGAGAGGAUGAACGGCCACACUGGAACUGAGACACGGUCCAGACUCCUACGGGAGGCAGCAGUGGGGAAUCUUCCGCAAUGGACGAAAGUCUGACGGAGCAACGCCGCGUGAGUGAUGACGGCCUUCGGGUUGUAAAGCUCUGUGAUCGGGGACGAAUGGCUGGUAUGCUAAUACCAUAUCAGAGUGACGGUACCCGAAUAGCAAGCCACGGCUAACUACGUGCCAGCAGCCGCGGUAAUACGUAGGUGGCAAGCGUUGUCCGGAAUUAUUGGGCGUAAAGCGCGCGCAGGCGGCUUCUUAAGUCCAUCUUAAAAGUGCGGGGCUUAACCCCGUGAUGGGAUGGAAACUGGGAGGCUGGAGUAUCGGAGAGGAAAGUGGAAUUCCUAGUGUAGCGGUGAAAUGCGUAGAGAUUAGGAAGAACACCGGUGGCGAAGGCGACUUUCUGGA